rnacentral:rRNA from 1 species
UACGAAGGGGGCUAGCGUUGUUCGGAAUUACUGGGCGUAAAGGGCGCGCAGGCGGCCCGCCAAGUCAGAUGUGAAAGCCCCGGGCUCAACCUGGGAACUGCAUUUGAGACUGGCGGGCUUGAGUUCGGGAGAGGAGAGCGGAAUUCCCAGUGUAGAGGUGAAAUUCGUAGAUAUUGGGAAGAACACCGGUGGCGAAGGCGGCUCUCUGGACCGAUACUGACGCUGAGGCGCGAAAGCGUGGGGAGCAAACAGG